rnacentral:rRNA from 1 species
CCUACGUGAGGCAGCAGUGAGGAAUAUUGGUCAAUGGGCGCGAGCCUGAACCAGCCAAGUAGCGUGAAGGAUGACUGCCCUACGGGUUGUAAACUUCUUUUAUAAAGGAAUAAAGUGAUGCACGUGUGCCUUUUUGUAUGUACUUUAUGAAUAAGGAUCGGCUAACUCCGUGCCAGCAGCCGCGGUAAUACGGAGGAUCCGAACGUUAUCCGGAUUUAUUGGGUUUAAAGGGAGCGUAGAUGGGUUGUUAAGUCAGUUGUGAAAGUUUGCGGUUCAACCGUAAAAUUGCAAUUGAUACUGGCAGUCUUGAGUACAGUUGAGGUAGGCGGAAUUCGUGGUGUAGCGGUGAAAUGCUUAGAUAUCACGAAGAACUCCGAUUGCGAAGGCAGCUUACUAAACUGCCACUGACAUUGAUGCUCGAAAGUGUGGGUAUCAAACAGGAUUAGAUACCCGUGUAGUC